AUUAUCUUGGCAGAUUAGUGCAAUGAAUUUAGGCUUCAUUUAUGUAAUAUAUUUACAGAUAAUA
rnacentral:tRNA from 1 species